GUGAGGUCUUCGGAUUGGCUUUGAGGACCCGGCAACGGGAUCUCGUUGCUGAGAAGUUGAUCAAACUUGGUCAUUUAGAGGAAGUAAAAGUCGUAACAAGGUUUCCGUAGGUGAACCUGCGGAAGGAUCAUUAAUGAANNNNNAACUUCAAAGUCGGCUUGGUCGUCUGUGCUGGUGGAGACACAUGUGCACGUCGACAAAGUCGCAAACCCCACACACCUGUGCAUCUAUGACUCUGAGUACCGCUUGCAUGGGCCGUCAAACGCCCUGGUACUCGAGUAACUUUCACACACUCUGAAUGUAAUGGAAUGUCUAUUGUACAAUGUACAACCAAAAACAACUUUCAACAACGGAUCUCUUGGCUCUCGCAUCGAUGAAGAACGCAGCGAAAUGCGAUAAGUAAUGUGAAUUGCAGAAUUCAGUGAAUCAUCGAAUCUUUGAACGCACCUUGCACCCUUUGGUAUUCCGAAGGGUACACCCGUUUGAGUGUCAUUGUAAUCUCACUACAACCGCUUUUUGUGGUUGCAUGUGGACUUGGAUGUUGCUGUGUCACAAACAGCUCGUCUGAAAUGCCUGAGUGUACCCCUGCUUUGCGGCGUAUUCGGUGUGAUAAAUCUUCACCGGAGUUGACCCUCAGGGUCACGUCUGCUUGACAUGGCUCUAUGCUUCCAACCGUCCUGACAAGACAAUCUUUGACAAUUUGACCUCAAAUCGGGUGGGACUACCCGCUGAACUUAAGCAUAUCAAUAAGCGGAGGAAAAGAAACUAACAAGGAUUCCCCUAGUAACGGCGAGUGAAGAGGGAAAAGCUCAAAUUUUGAAUCUGGUGUCUUUGACCCCCGAGUUGUAAUCUAGAGAAGUGUUUUCCGCUUUGGACCGUGUACAAGU
rnacentral:rRNA from 1 species